rnacentral:misc_RNA from 1 species
GAUGAAGAACGUAGCGAAAUGCGAUAAGUAGUGUGAAUUGCAGAAUUCAGUGAAUCAUCGAAUCUUUGAACGCACAUUGCGCCCCUUGGUAUUCCAUGGGGCAUGCCUGUUCGAGCGUCAUUUGUACCUUCAAGCUCUGCUUGGGGUUGGGUGUUUGUCUCGCCUCUGCGCGUAGACUCGCCUCAAAACAAUUGGCAGCCGGCGUAUUGAUUUCGGAGCGCAGUACAUCUCGCGCUUUGCACUCAUAACGACGACGUCCAAAAGUACAUUUUUACACUCUUGACCUCGGAUCAGGUAGGGAUACCCGCUGAACUUAAGCAUAUCAAUAAGCGGAGGA